CUCAAUUCCAUUGCACACAGUGUAACAAAAGUUAUCAUAAAAGAGCUUCUUUAAAUGCUCACAGAUAUACAGUUCACAGGGCCACUAAAGUGUUUUGCACCAUAGACGGAUGCGGCUACUUUACUUCUAGAAAUAGUGAUUUACGACGACAUCAGACACUGGUACAUAAAAUUAAUAAAGGAAAAUUUUAAUAAUACUAUUUCUAUGUUUAUUUUUUUUGAUAAUUUAUUUUUAUGAAUAGAGAAGUCAACUGGGAAAGAAUGUUUUUUUACACAAAUGCAGCCACUGAUCUUUAAAUACUAACUAGGACAGUUAUAAAAGUUAAAAAUUACAAUAAUUUUUUAAUUUUAUAUAACUAAUCCCUUAAAAUUAGAAAAUUAAAAUUAUUUCGAUUGUGGCUACAUAAAAUUAAUAAAGGAAAAUUUUAAUAAUA